GACGAACGCUGGCGGCGUGCUUAACACAUGCAAGUCGAACGGAAAGGCCCUGCUUUUGUGGGGUGCUCGAGUGGCGAACGGGUGAGUAACACGUGAGUAACCUGCCCUUGACUUUGGGAUAACUUCAGGAAACUGGGGCUAAUACCGGAUAGGAGCUCCUGCUGCAUGGUGGGGGUUGGAAAGUUUCGGCGGUUGGGGAUGGACUCGCGGCUUAUCAGCUUGUUGGUGGGGUAGUGGCUUACCAAGGCUUUGACGGGUAGCCGGCCUGAGAGGGUGACCGGCCACAUUGGGACUGAGAUACGGCCCAGACUGCUACGGGAGGCAGCAGUGGGGAAUAUUGCCCAAUGGGCGGAAGCCUGAUGCAGCAACGCCGCGUGCGGGAUGACGGCCUUUGGGUUGUAAACCGCUUUCGCCUGUGACGAGGCGUGAGUGACGGUAAUGGGUAAAGAAGCACCGGCUAACUACGUG
rnacentral:rRNA from 1 species